UACAGAGGGUGCGAGCGUUGUUCGGAAUUAUUGGGCGUAAAGGGCGCGUAGGCGGUGCGGUAAGUCUGAUGUGAAAUCUCCGGGCUCAACUCGGAGUCUGCAUCAGAAACUGCCGUGCUGGAGUGUGGGAGAGGUGCGUGGAAUGCCCGGUGUAGCGGUGAAAUGCGUAGAUAUCGGGAGGAACACCUGUGGCGAAAGCGGCGCACUGGACCAUAACUGACGCUGAGGCGCGAAAGCUAGGGGAGCAAACAGG
rnacentral:rRNA from 1 species